CACCCUUCAGGAAAGAAGAAAACUAGAUUAGCAGAAGAAAAUUAGAGUAUUCAGAAUCCAAAUAAAAGUAUAAAUACAUUUGUUCUUUAGGAUUUUUUUUUCUUCUUCUAAUUUUGGCUAGCUGUUUGAUUUCUGAUAUUUAUACACUUGUUGUUGGUCAUAAAAUACAUUCUGCACUUUGUAAAUUUGUAUUUACCAUUUAACAUGACUGCAUUUAUGAACUCCAGAAACUAAAAUGUUAUGAAUAUGAUAAUUGAUAUGGAAAUUAGGAUUUUUUAUUUCUAUAAGUUUUUAAGGUACAGGAACAACAAGGCUGCUGGUGUGUGUAAAAUAAUGUUGCAAUUAUUUAGUUCCAGUUUUCAAAUCGCAUCUCUGCUUCAAGCUUGUCAAAUGACCUGCGGACAAAAGAUAGACUGGUGACAGCAUGUUGUAAUCAGAUCAGCUACACCACAGCUCUCAAAGAAGGUGGUAUCCUUGACAGAUGAAAACAACAACUUGGAAAACGCCUUCAUCUCUCUCAAGCCAAUUCUCAUGAUUGCAGCCUAUGCAUACAUAAACAAGUAGAGCGCAUUAGACACUAAGAAACUUCUAGCUAAGUUGAGUAUUGUUUGCACUUACUUUUGUAUUAUUCCCCAUCUCCAAGCCAUCCACAAAACCUGUCCCAUCAGUGAAUUAAUUCCUUCAUUACUUAUUAAAUUUGUUUAAAGGAGAAGAAAAAGAGCUAAAUUGUACUACUAA